UACGUAGGCAGCAAGCGUUGUUCGGAAUUACUGGGCGUAAAGAGUGUGUAGGCGGUGUUCUAAGUUCGUCGUGAAAUCUCCCGGCUUAACUGGGAGGGUGCGGCGAAAACUGGAAUGCUAGAGGAUGGGAGAGGUAAGCGGAAUUCCUGGUGUAGCGGUGAAAUGCGUAGAUAUCAGGAGGAACACCUGUGGUGUAGACAGCUUACUGGACCAUUUCUGACGCUGAGACACGAAAGCGUGGGUAGCAAACAGG
rnacentral:rRNA from 1 species